UACGGAGGGUGCAAGCGUUGUCCGGAAUCACUGGGCGUAAAGCGUGCGUAGACGGUAGCGUAAGUCGGGUGUGAAAGCCCCGGGCUCAACCUGGGAAUUGCAUUCGAGACUGCUCUGCUAGGGUGCGGAAGAGGGGAGCGGAAUUUCCGGUGUAGCGGUGAAAUGCGUAGAUAUCGGAAGGAACACCAGUGGCGAAAGCGGCUCCCUGGUCCAGCACCGACGUUCAGGCACGAAAGCGUGGGGAGCAAACAGG
rnacentral:rRNA from 1 species